rnacentral:tRNA from 1 species
CGGAGUGUAGCGCAGCCCGGUUAGCGCACCUGCUUUGGGAGCAGGGGGUCGGGAGUUCAAAUCUCUCCACUCCGA